rnacentral:tRNA from 1 species
GCGGACGUGGCCAAGUGGAUUAAGGCAGUGGUUUGUGGAGCCACUAUGCGCGGGUUCAAUUCCGGUCGUUCA